CUCGCGAUAGCUCAGUCGGUAGAGCAACAGACUGUAGAUCUGUAGGUCGUCGGUUCAAUCCCGACUCGUGAGA
rnacentral:tRNA from 1 species